rnacentral:rRNA from 1 species
UACAGAGGUCCCGAGCGUUGUUCGGAUUCACUGGGCGUAAAGGGUGCGUAGGUGGCAUGGUAAGUUUGAUGUGAAAGCUCAGGGCUUAACCCUGAAAUGGCAUUGAAUACUGCUGUGCUGGAGGUUUGGAGGGGGGACUGGAAUUCUUGGUGUAGCAGUGAAAUGCGUAGAUAUCUGGAGGAACACCGGUGGCGAAGGCGGCAUCCUGGACCGGCACUGACGCUGAGGAGCGAAAGCCAGGGGAGCAAACGGG